rnacentral:rRNA from 1 species
AGGACGAACGCUGGCGGCGCGCUUAACACAUGCAAGUCGAACGUGAAGCUGGAGCUUGCUCCGGUGGAAAGUGGCGAACGGGUGCGUAACACGUGAGCAACCUGCCCCCGAAGACUGGGAUAACACCGGGAAACCGGUGCUAAUACCGGAUACCUUCUUCCGAUCGCAUGGUUGGAUGAAGAAAUGGAUUCCGCUUCGGGAUGGGCUCGCGGCCUAUCAGCUUGUUGGUGAGGUAACGGCCCACCAAGGCGACGACGGGUAGCUGGUCUGAGAGGACGACCAGCCACACUGGGACUGAGAAACGGCCCAGACUCCUACGGAGGCAGCAGUGAGGAAUUUUCCGCAAUGGGCGAAAGCCUGACGGAGCGACGCCGCGUGUGGGAAGAAGGCCUUCGGGUCGUAAACCGACUGUCGAAGGGGACUAUACUGAAGGUACCCUUGGAGGAAGCCCGGCUAACUACGCGCCAGCAGCCGC